AGGGGGUGAGGAGGAGGGGGUAGCAGGGGGUACGCGGGUGUGGUUACGAGGACCGUCGACACUCCCGCCGCGACCGAUUAUUCAACCCGCAAGGCCUCUGAAUUGGGUGAUGCUGUCUAGAGGUGCCCACAACCAGAAGCCCAAUGGCAUCCUCGGUGCUCUGUGUAGGGAGCACUUCCCUGGGCUCGUGGAGCAUGCCUGGGUCAGGGAGCCGACCUACACGUGGGACCACUACAUGGCCGUCGCAGAUGCAGAUGAUCGGGAAGGGAGGAAUUUCGGCACCAAGGCGAGGCGGGUGGUCGGGGAAUUGUGGGAUUUCUAUAGGUGCACUCCAGGUUAUGAGGCUAGGGCAAAUCAAGUGGCUAACAAAGCCUGCUAUAAACUGGUGAAGGACAUGCACUACGAGGCGCGCGUUCAGGCCAAUGUCCGAUACAUUGCCGAUUACGAGAAAAGGUCGAUCAAGAAAGGACCCGCAAGGGAACUCUUUCUCAGGCCGGAUCAAUACUCGAAGGAAGGCUGAGUGCUGGGCUAUGAUGGUCGAUAAGUGGAUGAGCAAGGAGUGGGCCCGGCAGCACACCUUAUGCCGGGAGCGCCGCUUCAUGAUGCCAGGUGCAGCGCACCAUCAAGGCAGUCGUAGCCUUCCCAAGUUUUAGGAGGUUUUGUCGGCACGACGUGAAGGGCAGCCUUGCAACGAGUUAACGGCAUACAUUAUGGCUCACAUGGGCAAUGCGACGUUCGAUGUCGCCUUCGACCCGGCGGCUCCGCCCGAGGCCUACACCAACCCGAACAUCCACACCCGCAUCACUCGGUACAUGGAGAUAGGAAAGGCGCUCCACGGGGACACAUGGGAUCCGGCCACCACACCCCUUUCUGGAGAAGCCAUCAUGAGGGCGGGAAGAGGGAAGAAGCACGGCCGGUACUGGCUCGGCGAUAGCGUAGUCGACACGGAUAGUACGCCCACUCUCUCGCAGCUUCAGGCAAGGACCACUGACUCGACCCCUCCCAUACUUCCAUGGUCCGAGACUUCUGUGGCCAGCAUGCAUGCAAUC